AGCGUGUGAUCUGCCAGCUCAAUUAAUGAGCUCAGAUCUAACGCUCCUCCUUUUUUUGCAUUUUCUAUUUUCUGAUUUUAUUUUCUUUAAUUCCUUUUAUUUCAAAAAAAUCAUAACUCUCUCAUUUUUUAUCCAAAAAUUAUGGGACCAAUUGCAUUAUUUCCCAAAUAAUUUCUAGUUUCUAUUUCUGAUUUUUAAUAUUUUUUAUUUUAUCAUUUGAUAUUUU
rnacentral:lncRNA from 1 species